GCCGAGACCCUCUCCCGCUCUCUGAGGGGCCGCUCCCCUCACGGUGCUGAGGCUUUCUCGCCGUCUCUGAGGGGGCUGCUCCCCUCACGGUGCUGCUCUCCCCCACUCCAAGGGCCAUUAUUCCCUCAUGGCAGGCUGCCGGCGAGGGAAAAGCAGCCCUGGGGAGAGAUGAGGUGUUCGGCCUGAGCAGGGAAUGCAUAGGGAAAAUGACCAAGAGUUUGUGUAAUCUGAUGCAAAUUGAUGCAUAUUUAUGCAAAUGUGUGUUCAGUAGAUUCUACUGAUGCUCCGUUUUCAAAUAUUGCUUUUGAACUCUUAUACCCUGAAAACAUGUUUAAAGGACCCAGAAUCCACCUUUUCCAUCUGAUCAGUUCUCUCCUGUGUAAUGGCAAUACAGAAACCCAGAGAUCAGCAUGGAUUACCACAGGUGAAAGAGGGCUAAUUUUCCUGCCUUCACUAGGUUCUUAUUUGCUCUGGCUCAAAAUCUCUGCAAGUUGUGCUGUUUCCUCACUCCUUGGGCUUUUAAACACGAUGUGGCUCUCCGUGACUUGUGGUUCUGGACGUGACUGUCUCCUGUGCACAGCUUGGAAAUGAAACUUGCUGCAUUUUUAAGCGUGGCAGUAAGAGGAGCCCGCUGAUAAAUUUGUGUACAUUUGUGCCCUGAAAUGGGCUUUGGGUGUGAGGUGACAGGGUUAAUCUAUCUAGCAGCAUGCAGGCAUGAAUGAACACUUUUUUUUGGUGCCAUGUAUCUUGGCUAAUUCCAUGAUUAUGCCCCUUUUCAUUUAAGACUGUUUCCAAGCAGCUUCCUACUAACCAACCUAUCUGUGUAUGGACUGCAAAGAUCACAGCAACAAGUAGCCAAAAACAUUUGAAAUAAGAAAAUGAAAUAAGAAAACUUCAUAAAA